rnacentral:rRNA from 1 species
AUUGAACGCUGGCGGCAUGCUUUACACAUGCAAGUCGAACGGUAACAGGCCUUCGGGUGCUGACGUGUGGCGAACGGGGGAGUAAUGCAUCGGAACGUGUCCCGAGGUGGGGGAUAACGCAGCGAAAGCUGUGCUCAUACCCCAUGUGCUCUGAGGAUGAGAGCGGGGGACCACGCAGCAAUGUUUGGCCUCGCGCCUUUGUAGCGGCCGAGGUCGGAUUAGGUAGUUGGUGGGGUAACGGCCUACCAAGCCGAAGAUCUGUAGCUGGUCUGAGAGGACGACCAGUCACACUGGAACUGAGACACGGCCCAGACUCCUACGGGAGGCAGCAGUGGGGAAUUUUGGACAAUGGGCGAAAGCCUGAUCCAGCAAUGCCGCGUGCGUGAAGAAGGUCUUCGGAUUGUAAACCGCUUUUGUUCGGAAGGAAAAGGAUCUGGCUAAUACCUGGGGCUGAUGACGGUACCGUAAGAAUAAGCACCGGCUAACUACGUG